GGCCUCCCAGUACUCACCACAGGUUGUAUUCUUACACCAGCUGUACAGAAAGAACAGGCAGAGUAAACCCACCCCAUAUGCACCUCAGCCCCGCCCUUUGUCCAGUCUGUAAUGUGAAUGUGGGGACAUGG